rnacentral:misc_RNA from 1 species
UGGUUCUGGCAUCGAUGAAGAACGCAGCGAAAUGCGAUAAGUAAUGUGAAUUGCAGAAUUCAGUGAAUCAUCGAAUCUUUGAACGCACAUUGCGCCCUUUGGUAUUCCGAGGGGCAUGCCCGUUCGAGCGUCAUUACACCACUCAAGCCUCGCUUGGUAUUGGGCGCCGGGUCUGACCCGCGCCUCCAUAUACGUCCGGCUGGACAGUCUGAACCUCAGCGUCGUGGCACUCAGCUCGCUCUGGUAGACGACUCGACACGCCGUUAAACUUUAUCUGCAGGUUGACCUCGGAUCGGGUAGGGAUACCCGCUGA